rnacentral:rRNA from 1 species
GUGGGGAAUCUUGCGCAAUGGGCGAAAGCCUGACGCAGCCAUGCCGCGUGAAUGAUGAAGGUCUUAGGAUUGUAAAAUUCUUUCACCGGGGACGAUAAUGACGGUACCCGGAGAAGAAGCUCCGGCUAACUUCGUGCCAGCAGCCGCGGUAAUACGACGGGGGCUAGCGUUGCUCGGAAUUACUGGGCGUAAAGGGCGCGUAGGCGGACAGCUUAGUCAGAGGUGAAAGCCCAGGGCUCAACCUUGGAAUUGCCUUUGAUACUGGCUGUCUUGAGUUUGGGAGAGGUGAGUGGAACUCCGAGUGUAGAGGUGAAAUUCGUAGAUAUUCGGAAGAACACCAGUGGCGAAGGCGACUCACUGGCCCAAUACUGACGCUGAGGCGCGAAAGCGUGGGGAGCAAACAGGAUUAGAUACCCCAGUAGUCC